rnacentral:rRNA from 1 species
AACGAACGCUGGCGGCAGGCUUAACACAUGCAAGUCGAGCGCCCCGCAAGGGGAGCGGCAGACGGGUGAGUAACGCGUGGGAAUCUACCCAUCUCUACGGAAUAACGCAUGGAAACGUGUGCUAAUACCGUAUACGUCCCUCGGGAGAAAGAUUUAUCGGAGAUGGAUGAGCCCGCGUUGGCUUAGCAAGUUGGUGGGGUAAAGGCCUACCAAGGCGACGAUCCAUAGCUGGGCUGAGAGGAUGAUCAGCCACACUGGGACUGAGACACGGCCCAGACUCCUACGGGAGGCAGCAGUGGGGAAUAUUGGACAAUGGGCGCAAGCCUGAUCCAGCCAUGCCGCGUGAGUGAUGAAGGCCCUAGGGUUGUAAAGCUCUUUCACCGGUGAAGAUAAUGACGGUAACCGGAGAAGAAGCCCCGGCUAACUUCGUGCCAGCAGCCGCCGUAACAC